AGGCUUCAAGAAAAUAGAUUUUCAGUUUUUAACGAAUAUAAACUGUGUCCAUGUGCUGGAAAUGAUAACUACAUGGUGUUGUAUUUGUCGUUAAGUUAAUAACAAUUUCCAUAUCCAAGCGAAGCAACUAGGGUCUCACUCCAUUAGAGUGUUGGAUUUCUUCUUUGAUACUCCUGGCGUGGCGUGUGGAAACCGGAUUGAGCAGAACUAGUUAUUUUAGUGAACGACUCACUGUUUUGAAUAUAAGUGACACGUUACAAUAAAAUACUGAUCAUAAGUCUUAGUCCUCUGAGUUUUAAAGCCGAAGUUGUUCAUUGGGUUUGGGUUUCCUUGUUACAAUCAAUUAUUUAUUUUAUAUUAGGUUGCAAGCUAACUUAUGAUCUUUUUUUUUUGUGCACUGUUUUUUUUUUUUUUUUUUUUUUUGUGCACUCAAGCUAACUUAUGAUCAAGAUGAACAUAUUGAAUAUCAUAUAAUAAAUGAACUGAACUAACUCAUAGAAAAGUAUGAGCUCAUCACAAAUAUUAGGUAAACUGAGUGAGCUGCCUUAUUUUGACACCCCUAUUCACAAUAAUUAAAGUGAUAAAAUUAGUGAUGUAUAAUGUGAUUAAUUAUAUGACUUAUGAAGUGUCUUUGUUUUCUUUUGGGCAGAAUACCGCUAGUCUGACUUAAAAAUACACAUCAGAUUUCAAAGCAAUUUUUUAAACAUAAUAUAAUUUCUAUUGUUUUUUCUGAAAUUUUAGAUAAUGUUUUAAAAAUUAACUAUAUGUUAUUAUAUUUAAUUUAUAAAAUUGAAACAUAAAACAAAAAGCUCAAUUUUUAAAGUUAUAUAUAUAUAUAUAUAUAUAUAUAUAUAUAAUUUUAGCUCUUACAAGACCAAC
rnacentral:lncRNA from 1 species